CUCAGUGAUUCGGAGAAUUGAGUUCGGCUGCGAGCCGUCCGUCCACAUACGUAUAGUAUUAUCCACAUGCUACGUGCUGCAGGCAAAUCGAGGACGCACAAACCCACCGACGCACACGAUUCGAAUGCCUCUCAAUGAAUUGCUGCCAAUUUGCAAUGGUUAAUGAAACGCUUUGUGCCGUGUCGAUUGCAUCGAAUCGGUGGUAAGUGAGGGGAGUGCAACGAGCAGUCCUCGGACUAACUAAUCCGAUUCCCUGCAGCUCAUCUCCGGACAGAGAUUCUGCACUUUAACCCGCUCACUUUCCUUAUUUUCUUUGACAUUCGAGUUACAUUUUGGCCAAGUUCCAUCGAUUGACGUUCGAAUGAACUCUGCACUGGGAAAAUAAAUUCGAAUAUAUCCU
rnacentral:lncRNA from 1 species